rnacentral:rRNA from 1 species
UACGGAGGGUGCAAGCGUUAUCCGGAUUUACUGGGUUUAAAGGGUGCGUAGGUGGGUCUGUAAGUCAGUGGUGAAAUCUCCGAGCUUAACUCGGAAACUGCCAUUGAUACUAUAGAUCUUGAAUUAUCUGGAGGUAAGCGGAAUAUGUCAUGUAGCGGUGAAAUGCUUAGAUAUGACAUAGAACACCGAUUGCGAAGGCAGCUUACUACACGAUCAUUGACGCUGAGGCACGAAAGCGUGGGGAGCAAACAGG